rnacentral:rRNA from 1 species
AUUGAACGCUGGCGGCAUGCUUUACACAUGCAAGUCGAACGGUAACAGGCCUUCGGGUGCUGACGAGUGGCGAACGGGUGAGUAAUGCAUCGGAACAUACCCAGUCGUGGGGGAUAACGUAGCGAAAGUUACGCUAAUACCGCAUACGUCCUGAGGGAGAAAGCGGGGGAUCGCAAGACCUCGCGCGAUUGGAGUGGCCGAUGUCAGAUUAGCUAGUUGGUGGGGUAAAGGCCCACCAAGGCGACGAUCUGUAGCGGGUCUGAGAGGAUGAUCCGCCACACUGGGACUGAGACACGGCCCAGACUCCUACGGGAGGCAGCAGUGGGGAAUUUUGGACAAUGGGGGAAACCCUGAUCCAGCCAUGCCGCGUGCGGGAAGAAGGCCUGGUUGUAACGCUUCUAGCGGAACGAAUACGCACGGACCAA